AUUGAACGCUGGCGGCACGCCUAACACAUGCAAGUCGAGCGGUAACAUGAUUUGUAGCAAUACAAAUUGAUGACGAGCGGCGGACGGGUGAGGAACACGUAGGAAUCUGCCCAGAAGCGGGGGACAACCAAGGGAAACUUUGGCUAAUACCGCGUAAUCUCGCAAGAGUAAAGCUGCCCGCAAGGGUGGCGCUUCUGGAGGAGCCUGCGUCCGAUUAGCUAGUUGGUGAGGUAAGAGCUCACCAAGGCGAUGAUCGGUAACUGGUCUGAGAGGACGACCAGUCACACUGGGACUGAGACACGGCCCAGACUCCUACGGGAGGCAGCAGUGGGGAAUAUUGGACAAUGGGGGCAACCCUGAUCCAGCGAUGCCGCGUGGGUGAAGAAGGCCUUCGGGUUGUAAAGCCCUUUAGGUUGGGAAGAAGUGUACGGGGCGAAUAACCCCGUAUGUUGACGGUACCGACAAAAUAAGCACCGGCAAACUCUGUGCCAGCAGCCGCCGCCG
rnacentral:rRNA from 1 species